UAUUUUAUGGCGCAAACUGGACAGAGAAAUGAUAUUUCCUUAUGGAAUCAAAAUGCCUGGUUUAGCAAGGGAGGUGCAACUAAUUGAAAGUAAAAAGAAUUUAAAGAAGCUUAUGAAAUAGCUGCAGAGGAGAAGACUGAUUUAGAAAGAUUAAAUGCAACUGGCUGGUGCGUGUUUUGGAUGCUCGGUGUGAAGCACAAAAUAUGUCGUCUGUUCUAGUGGCAAGAAGGACAAGACAAGCUGGUAACUCUCAUCGUCCACAACAUUAGAACAGGGACCUCAGUUUUAAGUGAUGAAUGGCGGUGAGCCUAUCGUCAGCUAGGCUACUGCCUGCAUUUGGGUAGAAGUAGGCUAUGUGAAUCUGGCACACAGUCAAGCAUUCGUCAAUGCAGAUAGGCUACAGGUUUCCACACAGCACAUCGAGAAGGCCUGGCGGAGUUAGCCUACAUGUGGCGCCUUUCCACUACGGGGUAAAACCCCGGUGUUUGGGGUAAAGCCUCGGGCUUGACGUCUUUCCAUGAUCGGGGCCGGCCCAGGGCCGGGGCUGAAACGGCCUCAGUCCGGCCCCGGAGUUGGGCAGGGCCAGCCGAGGCCAGACCGAGGACUUCGAACGGGAGUGGAAAUGGAAUCAAACGUAAUAAUAAGGUUCAGAUUGUGAAUCUCAGAACUCUUCACUUCAAGAGAGUGACAUUUCUGGAGUCCUGGACCUUGACACCAUCGAACCUCAAUCUAGGCCUUCAUCUACCCCUGCCCCCAGCACAUCCACCCCUGGCCCAUCUUUCUCUUUGCCAAAGAAAAGGCGAAGGGGGUCGGACGGAGUUGCUGAUGUGCUGCGAGAGGUGGAGGAGAAAAAUCGAGAGGCUAAUGAAAAGCUGCUUGAGGCCCAACUCCUCCAGAGAGAGAGGCAGCUGGAGUUUUUAAAGGAGUGUGACGUUGCUGAAAGAGCGGAGAGGGCAGCUGAGAGAGCAGCAGAGUUGGAGGAGAGACGUGCAAGGGAGGCAGCAGAAAGGGAGGACAGAGAGGAGAGGGCCAGAUUCAAUGCCAGUUUUUUGGACAUUUUUGCCAAAUUAGUUGACAAAUUGCACAAAUGAAUCAAGAGGGCAUUAUUUACAAUUUUAACUGUAUUUAUUGAUGUUUUUAUUUGUGUUGUCUUUAAUUAAUUAAAAUGUGUGUUGAGAAACAAACACAGCUCAAAGAUGUUAUGGUGUGGUAAAAUAUUGCAAUAGGCAAUCACGGACAGCCCUUCCACCCUGUCCCUCCCCUUGGCAGUUCAGGUUACCAUUUUCUCUGUUGUCUGCUAUGGCAUCGGUCCACUCCUCACUGAAUGGCUCUCCAUGUUGCUCACAAAGAUUAUGAAGUAUGCAACAAGCCAUGACCAUGUGAUUGAUUUUGUCCAGAUGGCAAUCAUUUCUUUUUAGAAGACAACGCCACCUUCCCUUCAGUCUCCCAAAGGCAUUCUCAACAACACAGCGUGCCCUGCUGACAAUUCUGUUAAAUCUUUGUUGAUUACCAUUAAGGUGACCAUUAUCCUUGAACGGUUUGAUUAGCCAGGACUGCAGUGGAUAGGCCCCAUCCCCCAAUAGGUAAUAGCCUAUUUCUUUCCCACAGAUGUGUUGUGUGUGUGUGUUAAAGUAGUGGUUUUCAGCCAGGUUCCAAACAUUGGACUGCCGUAGCACUCGUGCAUCAUGGAGGCUACCUGGUGCUCCCACAUGCACAUCCCAAAACAUCCCCCUCCCAUCCACAACUGCUUGAAGGACCACAGAAUGCCACCCCUUUCUGUUGAAGUAGUCUUGAUGGUACUGACUUGGUGCAAUAAUGGGAAUGUGUGAGCCAUCAAUUGCGCCCACACACUGCCUCAUGCCCCAUCUCUGUUCAAAAAACUGAGUGAUGUCAUACAGUUUUGCAGGGGUGGGUGUUGCUAGGAGAUCUUUACCUAACAACUCGCAUACAGCAAUACAAAAUUCAUGUGUGCAGCGGCAGACUGUAGCUGUGCUGACACCAAACAAUUGUCCGAUACUUCGGUAUUCUGAGUUUGUGGCCAGCUUCCACAGAGCUAUUCCUACUCGUUUGGGUAGAGGAACACACUCCCGAAAACUUGUGUUUUGACGCUGCAACCUCCGGCCAAGCCUAUUGCACAAGAAUUGAAAGGUUUCAGCACUCAUCCUAAAAUUGGCAAUCCAUUGUGCUUCAGUGUAGAGUGGCACUAUGUUCUCCCACCAAUAGGCAUUUUGUGGAUAGGCCCAUACAGCUGGUGACAACCGCUGACGAUACACUGUGAUUAUCUGAAGUUGAAAUGUAAAAAAAAGGAGGAAAAAAAAAGAUAAUUUCUGCUCUUCAAUCAGUCUGAUCAUUUUUGUUAAAUAACAUAGCCUACACCUACAACUAUACAUCUCUAUGAUAAUAUCAAUGUACAGUAGCUCAUACACUUUAGGCUACUGUAGUGAAUAACCUGCUUUGUUAAGGCUUAUACUGCCACCUACUGUAGGCUAGCGUAUAUAACAAGCGCUAUAUUUCAUUGUCUUGCCUUUUUUAUCGAUGAAUUUCUAUUUGUGAGUUGAUGCUGAAACCAAUCAAGAUCGCAGUCGUCACAUUCGUCGAGUAGAGCCAUCACUCUGCGUUUUCUUGCGACCCUACGCAUCCUCCUCUUUUGCCUGCGAGAGGCCAACAUUAUUUGAUACCGCUUGGCACGUUUUGUUCGUCUCUCCUCAUUUUCGCGGAGAAAACAAAGACACUUGUGUAUGAACACGAACAACAUGAAAAAGUUUUCCACGUCCAUCUUUCAGCAGUAGGCUAGGUUAAGGUUAUUUCACCAACGUUUUUAACGUAUUUUGUCUUUGUAUUUUUACAGAAUGUUAUGGGAUUGUCAGCCUUUAUGACAAUGUUAUGCAGAACCAUGUAGGCUACCGUUGAUAUUAGGCAUAGGCAGGCUACGUUUUAGUUUCAGCACCAAUGUCGGAAGUUACUUCUGCUAUGAUAGACGGCGAUAUGCAUCUCUCCCGGGAAAUUAACGUAGGCUAUUACGUUUGUAUAGUAAACAUUCCAAGUUCACGUAAAACCCCGGUGUUUAACUCGGUAGUGGAAAUACAACACUGGGGCUAAGCACCGGUGUUUAAGACCGGGGUAAAGCCUGGGGCCGGCCCGGGGCCGUAGUGGAAAUGACCCAAAGGAGAACAUCUCAAGACGCAGGGGGAAUCGGACAGCUGACUUGCUAAAGAUCACCUUAAUUGAGUGGAAUGAUCACAAUGGUCCACUCUGGGUCGCCUACUCCACGACAUUGCCAAGAAAUUUAAAAAGAAAUUGUUCAUUUUGAUGUAGGCUAAUGCUUUCCAUUAUCAAAUUGUCAUGAUC